UGAACUCAGAAGAUAAAAGUGCCCUUCAGGA
rnacentral:piRNA from 1 species